rnacentral:lncRNA from 1 species
CCCCCUUUUUUACAAAAUACUCAAUAACUCAACAAGAGUGCACACGCUGAAAUGUCUCGCCUUCUAUACUAAUCAUUGAUAUUAUGUUGAUAGUCCUAAGUAUAAAGCUAAGCUUUAUUACAACUGUCACAUAAACUUAACAUUAACCAAGAUAACUAAACAAAGACCAAUGAACCUUGAAAAAGAGGUCCAGGUCAGAUGAACC